rnacentral:rRNA from 1 species
CGGGGGGCAGCAGUCGAGAAUAAUUCACAAUGGGGGCAACCCUGAUGGUGCAACGCCGCGUGGAGGAUGACGGUCUUCGGAUUGUAAACUCCUGUCAUCUGGGAGUAAGACCUGGUCGUUAAUAGCGGACAGGGUUGAUAGUACCAGAAGAGGAAGGGACGGCUAACUUCGUGCCAGCAGCCGCGGUAAUACGAAGGUCCCGAGCGUUGUUCGGAAUCACUGGGCGUAAAGGGAGCGUAGGCGGUGCGGUAAGUCAGAUGUGAAAUCCCGGGGCUCAACCCCGGAACUGCAUCCGAUACUGCCGUGCUAGAGGAUUGGAGAGGUAGCUGGAAUUCUUGGUGUAGCAGUGAAAUGCGUGGAUAUCAAGAGGAACACUCGUGGCGAAAGCGAGCUACUGGACAACUCCUGACGCUGAGGCUCGAAGGCCAGGGUAGCGAAAGGGAUUAGAUACCCCAGU